rnacentral:misc_RNA from 1 species
AAGAAUACUAGUAAAUUAAAAUAUGUUUGUAUAGACAUUCCAAAUAGUAAGAAGUUAAUGACGCAAGCGCGCAUUCCAUGCUAAUAUUCUUUUGUGUCCUUUGUAUUUUUUUUUUUUGUUGUGUUAAAUAUAAGUUAAAAUGGAACUGCGUGUGUGGAAAACAUUAUUGUUGCAGUGGGUGCAAAAAUGCAAUUUCAUAGAAAACAUUUCAUGUCUCGAAGAUUCUGAUAUUGAGGCAUUUUUUGCCAAUAUGCAGUAUGCUGGAGUUGAACUAGCCACCAAACAGCCGGAGUCGCCCCUAAACAUUACCCCGUUUCUGGGGUCACUAAAAACAUUUCUUCAAGAUAACUAUCCAGAUUUUGAGCCACAUUUUGAGCACGAUGGCCGCAUAGCAAACGAAGAUUACAUUUAUGUGUACACACUUCUUAUGCACUACACGUGCAUUCAGAGUCCGAUCACAUAUUUUCAUAAUAUCUGCAACGAUUUACCGAAAACAAUGCAGCAGUGCAUCGUUGUAUUCUUCGAGCAGAUUGUCAACGACCCGGAGCUGACUCGCAAUCGUUUGCGCCGGAUCAUUCGCAAUAUUCGGGAAGAUGCUGAAAUAAAUACAAACAGUUCAGUGUCGGCACUGGCCAGCAGCACGACGGACUCGACGCCAAUCGACAAUGAUGCGAUUGGGUGUGCGAAUCCUGUGACGCCGUCGCCCGUCCAAAAAAAGCUGCACAGUUUAUGUGACUCCAGCCAAAUGCCGGUUCCGUCAACACCAAGAACUGAGCUGCUCGAACAGCGUACGCGUGAGCUGCUUGGAUUGAGGGCUGAGUUGGCAACGGAGCGGUAUGAAAAGACUUUUCUAGAGGAGCAAAUCAUAGAAGACGAAAAAUUGAUUAAUUCGCUUAGUGAAAGGAACAAGCAAUUGGCCCAGAUGAAAGCCGUCCUUCAAAAAGAAAACGACGAGGAAAAUUGCGCGAAUAGCAUUGUGACCAAUGAAGUAGACAACCUAAAGCGACAACUUCAAAAGGAGCUAAGCAACAAGGAUGAUAUUAUUGCCGAACGCGACGAACAGAUGCUUGAGCUGAAAGCCAAACAUGACAAAGUUUCUGCCAAGCUGAAGCUUUCAGAGAAACAGUUGCGGGUCUGUAUUGAGAAAAUAAAUGUACUGGAGCUGCAUUCGGAGAGCUUUGCUCCCAUGUUGACCAUAAAGGAGGAGACCAUUGCCUGUCUGCAGCGCGACAAACUGGAGCUAGAACAGUGUCUAAAAGAGACUCGUGACGAGCUGCAUAAGGGACGCGAGGUGCUGAAUGCUUCAUCGGAUCUGCUGGAUACCUCACAGUCGGCCAGCAGUAUGAAUACCACACCGGAAACCCUGGCUUGCUCCGUUAUAGAUAAACAAUUGCGCGAGAAGGAGCAGGAGAAUGAAGAACUGCGUGAGCAACUGACGUCCAUCAGGGUGGCAACUGCAUGCAUUGUGGAUGGCAUUUUAAAGAUCGCACAGCAGCAUCAAGUGGAGAUACCAACAAAACCCAAUGAUGAUGUGCAACUCUUAAACUUAAUUCGGCGCAGUAUGGAGAAGUUGUCCUCUAGCUUUGUGCAAGAGGAGCAACGUGUGAAGGAACUGCAGGAUCAGUUCAACAUACAGAUUCAGCAAUGUGCGCACCACGAAGAGAACAUUCAGCAUCUAAAGAACAACGCUGAGAAGCUGGCUAAGGAGUUAGAGGACAGUCAGUCCAACUUGAAGACUAGCAAUGAGAAGUUACAGAAUAACGAAAUUGAAAUCACGAAAAAAGAUAAGGAACUUCUGCAGCUGAGCGAAGAAUUGAUUAAAUUCGGCAAUCAAGAACGUACUCUACAAGAUCGCAUUGCCACUGAAUCCGAACUAUCACUUAAGCAGUGCCAGAUGCUGUCCGAGCAAGAGAAGAUUAUUCAAACUCAGGAAUUAAAGUUGGCUGAGCAGCAGGCGAAGCUAACCGACGCUCAAAAUCAGUUGAAACGUUUCCUUGACCGAGUCAGUGCCCAAGUUAAUACGAAGAUAGCUUCAAUGUCAAGCGGCGAAAACGGCUUAAAGGAAGUGGAAAAUGUGCUGAUGAGAAUGUGCAAUCAAUUGGAAGAGUCCAAGGUGGAGAUGGCUGCCAAAUGUGAACAGCUCACUGCUCAAGACCACUUUUUGAUGCAAAUGCUAAAAACACUCAAUGCACACAUCGAGCAACCAAUCGGUCCUAACAACAUUGUAACUCUUCCCAAAAACCUUCAAUUCUUGAACAUGAAACUUGCCCUGUUCGUCUCGAAAUAUGAGCAUCUCCACGCUAAAUGUAAUUCUUUGGAAAGUGAUAAUCUGCAGACGGUAGAAAAUAUGAGGCAGCUAGUAAGCGAGCUGGAAGAAAAUACCAUAAUACGUAAGCAAUUGGAAAAGCAGUGCGAUGAGCUAAUGCAGCAAAUGCAGCAGAAGUCUGAGGAAUGCGAAAAAAUAACUCAACAGUUGCAAAGUGAGAAAGCAAACAAGACUACCAUUCAAAGCGAACUUGGCAAAGAGUUGCAGACGCUAAAGCUGACGUGUCAGGAUUUGAAAAUGACCAAGGAGCAACAGUUGCUCGACCGAGAAUCUCUCCAAAAAGGUUUGCAAAAGCAGUGCGAUGAGCUAAUGCAGCAACUGCAGCAGAAGUCUGAGGAAUGCGAAAAGAUAACUCAACAGUUGCAAAGUGAGAAAGCAAACAAGACUACCAUUCAAAGCGAACUUGGCAAAGAGUUGCAGACGCUAAAGCUGACGUGUCAGGAUUUGAAAAUGACCAAGGAGCAACAGUUGCUCGACCGAGAAUCUCUCCAAAAAGGUUUGCAAAAGCAGUGCGAUGAGCUAAUGCAACAACUGCAGCAGAAGUCUGAGGAAUGCGAAAAGAUAACUCAACAGUUGCAAAGUGAGAAAGCAAACAAGACUACCAUUCAAAGCGAACUUGGCAAAGAGUUGCAGACGCUAAAGCUGACGUGUCAGGAUUUGAAAAUGACCAAGGAGCAACAGUUGCUCGACCGAGAAUCUCUCCGAAGAGGUUUGCAAAAGAAGUGCGAUGAGCUAAUGCAGCAACUACAGCAGAAGUCUGAGGAAUGCGAAAAGAUAACUCAACAGUUGCAAAGUGAGAAAGCAAACAAGACUACCAUUCAAAGCGAACUUGGCAAAGAGUUGCAGACGCUAAAGAUGACUUGUCAGGACUUGGAAAUGACCAAGGAGCAACAGUUGCUCGACCGAGAAUCUCUCCGAAGACGUUUGCAAAAGAAGUGCGAUGAGCUAAUGCAGCAACUGCAGCAGAAGUCUGAGGAAUGCGAAAAGAUAACUCAACAGUUGCAAAGUUCGAAAGCAAGCAAGACUACCAUUGAAGGUGAACUUGGCAUGGCGCUUCAGAAGCUCGAGCUGGCGGAGAAGACUAAGGAGCAACAGUUGCACGAUCGAGAAUCUCUUAUAGAAGAUUUGCAAAAGAAGUGCGAUGAGCUAAUGCAGCAACUGCAGCAGAAGUCUGAGGAAUGCGAAAAGGUAACUCAACAGUUGCAAAGUGAGAAAGCAAGCAAGACUACCAUUGAAGGUGAACUUGGCAUGGCGCUUCAGAAGCUCGAGCUGGCGGAGAAGACUAAGGAGCAACGGUUGCACGAUCGAGAAUCUCUUAUAGAAGAUUUGCAAAAGAAGUGCGAUGAGCUAAUGCAGCAACUGCAGCAGAAGUCUGACGAAUGCGAAAAGAUAACUCAAGCAUUGCAAGUGGAGAAAGCAAGCAAGACUACCAUUCAAAGUGAACUUGGCAUGGAGCUUCAGAAGCUGGAGUCGGCGUGUCAGGCGUUGGAAAUGAUCAAGGAGCAACAGUCGCACGAGCGAGAAUCACUCGUAUUGGAUAUACAAAAACUGCACGAUGAACUGAAAGUUAAGAAGCUGAAAAUUUUGACGGUUGAAGAGGAGCAAAAUCGGCAGUUGGUGCAAAAGAACACUGUCGAGAAGGAACUGGAAACAGUCAAGGCAACGCUUGCACAACGGGAGCUACAACUGGAGCAAAGUAAAACGCAGCUGGACACUUACACCAAGCGCUUGGAGAGAACAGUCAUUAAGCUGGGGGAACAGCAAGCUGUUGUAUCCAAAACUCAACGUGAAUUAGUUCAGAUCAAGUUCGCACAGGAGGAGCAAGCAAAACUUCUCAAUGCAAUGCAACAUGAGAAGGAGGGCUUGCAGUUGGAACUGCGAACAAGCAAGGAGCGUGCAAAUCGAUCGGAGGAGAAGCUGUCUAGCCUAGAACAGCAGUACAUGAAGAUACAGAGUUUAGAGCAGCAGCAAGAGCGGAAGAUAAAGCUUGAGAAAGUGCGCGACAUUGCUGACAAGAAGAUGAUUUUGGUAACCGAGGAGGAGAAUACCCGUCUGCGCCUUCAGAUUGGCGCCCUAAACUCGGACAUUGUACAGCAACAGAAGCGAAUUGGGGACUUAACUGACGAACUACAACUGGCCAACGAUACCAUUGCUAAAGUGAGGCAGGAGCUGGAGGCGAAUAAGGCGCUGCAGUGUGAUUUGGAUGAUAAGUUGAAACAUCUGAAAUCUGAGUGCGAAAAGGCAAACGAACGCGAAUCGCAUUAUCAGCGCAAACUGAAGGCACUGAAGGACGAGCUAGAAGAGAGCCUUGCCGAUAAUAUUGAUAUUCGCAACAGCAAGGAAACCAUGCUGGACACUUUGCACAAGGAGAAUCGCAUGGUACUGGACCAAAUGAAUAAGCAGAAGGCUAAAGAACAUCAGAUGGAGCUCGAUUGCCAGAUAUUGCAGGCCAAGUAUCGCGAUGCGAAAGAAGAGAUUGGUCGCUGUGAGCAAAAACUCAAGGAUCAGCGUCUCGAAAUGGAGGGCAAAUUAGAAAAGAUGAAAUCCAAAAUGCGGGCAUUGUACAAGGCGGAAGUGAUCCGAAUGAAGGAGAAGCAGGAGCGCGAUGCGACCAGCAACAAGGCGGAACUGGAAAAACUGACUGCACAGAACAACAAGUAUGACGAACAUACGCGUGCUCUAUCUGCUCAGAUUGUGCGUCUGAACGAAAUCAUUUUGGAGCAACAAAAGCAGCAUGCCAUACUCAGCACCAAGCUGCGCCACCUACACGAGACCGAAUCGGCGGCUUCCGCUUCUUCUCCCAGCGAUGACUGGCACCCGUUUAAGCGGCCAAGCGCCCCAUCUGCCAAUCUGGGCAGCAAUCUGGCCAUGGAAGAUGAGGAGGGUGAGGUGUUUAAUAACACCUACCUCACAGAUCUUAAGCUUGGCCGUGUCCCGGACAUAACCACUGAAGAAUUGCAAUAUCGCAACUCGUUGCAACCGCCGCAUUUGAAGAGCACAUAUGCGGCACAGUAUGACUUGGGUAGCCAAGAAAGCGAUCUCAAAGAGCAGCUCCCCGCUCGGAAUUCCGCUCAAGGCACAAGUGCACGCAAAGUGGUUACAAUUGACAUGUAGCUUAUAGAAUCUAUUUAGACAGCAGACGACUAUCAAAGUCAGACCACUUGCAUAUGACGGGCCACAUGGCCUGGACGACAGCAUGAGCGCGCUGCUGAGCACAACGGGUGGCAACUGUACCGG